rfam:Triticum aestivum genome assembly, contig: Triticum_aestivum_CS42_TGACv1_scaffold_643231_T_2AS-0.254546_2DS-0.127294
CACUUACUCCUUCCGUCCAGAAAUACUUGUCAUCAAAAUGAAUAAAAGGGGAUGUAUCUAGAUGUAUUUUAGUUCUAGAUACAUCCAUUUUGAUGACAAGUAUUUUCGGACGGAGGGAGUAGAUA